CCCCUCUCAGGGUCACACCUGGAGAGUUUCCGGUAUUCGAGCAGUCAUGACCGCAGGAGGGAGAGUCAAGCAGAGGCAUACCCAUUCCAUUCCUAGCUUGGGCAGUGGCUAGUGAGUGGAAGGCAAUCUGCUACAAGU